rnacentral:snRNA from 1 species
GUCCUUUUGCUAGGGUUAGAGUUCCUGUCAAUGAGGAGAAAUCCGAGACGGAACCUUUUGCUGAUUGCAAAAAACAUCCUAACGUCGUCGCCCAUCGCAAGAUGGAGACGCAAUCUUUGGAACACGACCUAUC